AAGUCGUAACAAGGUUUCCGUAGGUGAACCUGCGGAAGGAUCAUUAGAAAUUUUUAUGUAUUCAAAAAUUUUUUCAAUCUUUUUUAUUUAUUUAUGUUAAAUAUAUAAUAAUUAUAUGAGACAACUUUCAACAACGGAUCUCUUGGCUCUU
rnacentral:misc_RNA from 1 species